AUAAACAUAUUAAUGCUUUCUCGAAAGUUAGAAGCUUUCUUUAUGUAUUUCUUU
rnacentral:tRNA from 1 species